AGAGUUUGAUCCUGGCUCAGGAUGAACGCUGGCGGCGUGCCUAAUACAUGCAAGUCGAGCGAACGGACGAGAAGCUUGCUUCUCUGAUGUUAGCGGCGGACGGGUGAGUAACACGUGGAUAACCUACCUAUAAGACUGGGAUAACUUCGGGAAACCGGAGCUAAUACCGGAUAAUAUUUUGAACCGCAUGGUUCAAAAGUGAAAGACGGUCUUGCUGUCACUUAUAGAUGGAUCCGCGCUGCAUUAGCUAGUUGGUAAGGUAACGGCUUACCAAGGCAACGAUGCAUAGCCGACCUGAGAGGGUGAUCGGCCACACUGGAACUGAGACACGGUCCAGACUCCUACGGGAGGCAGCAGUAGGGAAUCUUCCGCAAUGGGCGAAAGCCUGACGGAGCAACGCCGCGUGAGUGAUGAAGGUCUUCGGAUCGUAAAACUCUGUUAUUAGGGAAGAACAUAUGUGUAAGUAACUGUGCACAUCUUGACGGUACCUAAUCAGAAAGCCACGGCUAACUACGUGCCAGCAGCCGCGGUAAUACGUAGGUGGCAAGCGUUAUCCGGAAUUAUUGGGCGUAAAGCGCGCGUAGGCGGUUUUUUAAGUCUGAUGUGAAAGCCCACGGCUCAACCGUGGAGGGUCAUUGGAAACUGGAAAACUUGAGUGCAGAAGAGGAAAGUGGAAUUCCAUGUGUAGCGGUGAAAUGCGCAGAGAUAUGGAGGAACACCAGUGGCGAAGGCGACUUUCUGGUCUGUAACUGACGCUGAUGUGCGAAAGCGUGGGGAUCAAACAGGAUUAGAUACCCUGGUAGUCCACGCCGUAAACGAUGAGUGCUAAGUGUUAGGGGGUUUCCGCCCCUUAGUGCUGCAGCUAACGCAUUAAGCACUCCGCCUGGGGAGUACGACCGCAAGGUUGAAACUCAAAGGAAUUGACGGGGACCCGCACAAGCGGUGGAGCAUGUGGUUUAAUUCGAAGCAACGCGAAGAACCUUACCAAAUCUUGACAUCCUUUGACAACUCUAGAGAUAGAGCCUUCCCCUUCGGGGGACAAAGUGACAGGUGGUGCAUGGUUGUCGUCAGCUCGUGUCGUGAGAUGUUGGGUUAAGUCCCGCAACGAGCGCAACCCUUAAGCUUAGUUGCCAUCAUUAAGUUGGGCACUCUAAGUUGACUGCCGGUGACAAACCGGAGGAAGGUGGGGAU
rnacentral:rRNA from 1 species